GACCCUAUAGAGUUUUAUGAAUUAGUAGUUUUAAAUUAUUUAGAAUUUUUUAUUUUAAGUUAUUAAUUUAUUUAGUUGGGGUGACUAAAAAAUUUAAUUAACUUUUUUAUAUUUUAUACACUUAUUUGUGAUUAUUUGAUCCAUUAUUUAUGAUUAAUAGAUAAAAUUACCUUAGGGAUAACAGCGUAAUUUUUCUUGAGAGUUCAAAUCGAAAGAAAAGUUUGCGACCUCGAUGUUGGAUUAAAAUAAACUUUUGGUGUAGCAGCUAGGAAAGUUUGGUCUGUUCGACCAUUAAAAUUUUACAUGAUCUGA
rnacentral:rRNA from 3 species